rnacentral:rRNA from 1 species
UGGCGGACGGGUGAGUAACGCGUGGAAAACCUGCCGUAUACUGGGGGAUAACACUUAGAAAUAGGUGCUAAUACCGCAUAAGCGCACAGCUUCGCAUGAAGCGGUGUGAAAAACUCCGGUGGUAUAUGAUGGACCCGCGUCUGAUUAGCCAGUUGGCAGGGUAACGGCCUACCAAAGCGACGAUCAGUAGCCGGCCUGAGAGGGUGGACGGCCACAUUGGGACUGAGACACGGCCCAAACUCCUACGGAAGGCAGCAG